CAGAGUUACGUGUCCAAGAUUUGGAAAAAUUGAUUAUAGAAUUGCACUUUUAUAAGAAUCAUGCAAAGGGCCAACAGGCUGAGUCAAACAUAAAUGCACAAAUGUUGAAGGAGAGAAGUUGAAACGAGUGUUCAAGUGUUAUAUUAGUUACCUGUUGGCCACUUAUUUAAGAUGUCAAAGGAUUUUAUGAAAUGGGAGAGGGAAACCGGUAGAAGUGGAGCAUCGAAUGGCAGUGGGGGCUAUUAUUCGGAGCAUGGAAGGAAAUUGCUGAUAUUAUUUAUGGACAAUUUAACACGAUGAAUGAAUGAUGUUUGGAGAAGAGGCUCAUGGCCAGUGAGAUGAAGUAUUGAGUUUUUACACCUACAGAUAAUAAUAAAGAACAAUUUAGUGCAUAGAUGUAAAAAUAAACUAUAUAUAGUGCAUAGAUGACAGGAUAUAGUGUUACGCUUUAAGUCACAGAUGACAAUGAGUUUUAGUUCUACUAAUUUGUUGUUUUCGUAACCACCUUGUAUAUAGCAGUGCAUUAAUCAUAAAAAUGAUGUACUCCGUACAU